rnacentral:RNase_P_RNA from 2 species
GAACCCGGACUUUUCUCUCCGUCUGAGGACGGGGAGGAAAGUCCGGGCUCCGCAGAGCAGGAUGCCGGUUAAUGGCCGGACGCCGUGAGGCGAUGGAAAGUGCCACAGAAAAUAUACCGCCGAUGGCUCGGUACUGCUGUCCGCAAGGGGGGCGGCUGGGUACAGGUAAGGUUGAAAUGGCGAGGUAAGAGCUCACCGCGCUGGUGGCAACAUCAGUGGCAGGGCAAACCCCAUCCGGAGCAAGAUCAAAUAGGCUGACUAUGGCGUGGCUCGCGCCGUCAGCGGGUAGAUUGCUUGAGCGUCAGGUAACGAAACGCCUAGAGGAAUGACUGUCCACGACAGAACCCGGCUUAUCGGCCAGCUUCACCU